GAUGAAGAACGUAGCGAAAUGCGAUAAGUAAUGUGAAUUGCAGAAUUCAGUGAAUCAUCGAAUCUUUGAACGCAAAUUGCGCCCGCCAGUAUUCUGGCGGGCAUGCCUGUUCGAGCGUCAUUUCAACCAUCAAGCCCCCGGCUUGUGUUGGGGACCUGCGGCUGCCGCAGGCCCUGAAAACCAGUGGCGGGCUCGCUAGUCACUCCGAGCGUAGUAAUACAUCUCGCUCAGGGCGUGCUGCGGGUUCCGGCCGUUAAAAAGCCUUAUUUACCCAAGGUUGACCUCGGAUCAGGUAGGAAGACCCGCUGAACUUAAGCAUAUCAAUAAGCGGAGGA
rnacentral:misc_RNA from 1 species